UACGUAGGGUGCGAGCGUUGUCCGGAAUUAUUGGGCGUAAAGAGCUCGUAGGCGGUGUGUCACGUCGGCCGUGAAAACCUGCAGCUUAACUGUGGGCGUGCGGUCGAUACGGGCAUCACUAGAGUUCGGCAGGGGAGACUGGAAUUCCUGGUGUAGCGGUGAAAUGCGCAGAUAUCAGGAGGAACACCGGUGGCGAAGGCGGGUCUCUGGGACGGUACUGACGCUGAGACGCGAAAGCCAGGGGAGCAAACGGG
rnacentral:rRNA from 1 species